rnacentral:rRNA from 1 species
GACGAACGCUGGCGGCGUGCUUAACACAUGCAAGUCGAACGGUGAAGCUCCAGCUUGCUGGAGUGGAUCAGUGGCGAACGGGUGAGUAACACGUGAGCAACCUGCCCCUGACUCUGGAAUAAGCGCUGGAAACGGCGUCUAAUACUGGAUACGAGAAGGGUCCGCAUGGGCACUUUCUGGAAAGUUUUUCGGUUGGGGAUGGGCUCGCGGCCUAUCAGCUUGUUGGUGAGGUAAUGGCUCACCAAGGCGACGACGGGUAGCCGGCCUGAGAGGGCGACCGGCCACACUGGGACUGAGACACGGCCCAGACUCCUACGGGAGGCAGCAGUGGGGAAUAUUGCACAAUGGGCGAAAGCCUGAUGCAGCGACGCCGCGUUAGGGAUGACGGCCUUCGGGUUGUAAACCUCUUUCAGCAGGGAAGAAGCGAAAGUGACGGUACCUGCAGAAGAAGCACCGGCUAACUACGUG